rnacentral:rRNA from 1 species
AUUGAACGCUGGCGGCAGGCCUAACACAUGCAAGUCGAGCGAGCGGCGGACGGGUGAGUAAAGUCUGGGAAAAUGCCUGAUGGAGGGGGGUAACUACUGGAAACGGUAGCUAAUACCGCAUACCAUCAGAUGUGCCCAUAUGGGAUAAGCUAGUAGGUGGGGUAACGGCUCACCUAGGCGACGAUCCCUAGCUGGUCUGAGAGGAUGAACAACCAAACUGGAAAGGAGACACGGUCCAGACUCCUACGUGAGGCAGCAGUGGGGAAUAGUGCACAAUGGGCGAAAGCCUGAUGCAGCCAUGCCGCGUGUGUGAAUAAGGCCUUCGGGUUGUAAAGCACUUUCAGCGGGGAGGCGUUACCCGCAGAAGAAGCACCGGCUAACUCCGUGCCAGCCGCCGCGGUAAUAC